AGGGUUGUGGCUCAGUGGUAAAGCAUUUGCCUACAAUGCAUGAGGCAUUUGGUUCAAUCCCCGGCACUA
rnacentral:tRNA from 1 species